GGUGGAGAGGGGUUAUUGGGCUUUUUUGGGGGUCAUAGCCUCAUCACCAAACCCUCAACCACGUGUUCCAAAAGGGGCAUAUCUCAUCGCCACCGCCAUCUGAUUACCGCCACAACCCUCUCAGGCCAAAACGACUGUUUAAACAUCCACCACCCUCGCUAGGGUUUCGGUAAGGUGUCGACGACGGUUGUUUCCGGCCACACCUGUUCGUAGUGUAUGCUGAAAACCCUAGGAAUUCUACAGUGUAGACACGUUGCAGACAUGUGGCAAGUUCGACUGACAUAAGUUAUACACGUGGCUUUAAAAAAUGUGGCCCGAUAGAAGAGUACAUCACCUUCCAGAUGCUUUGUUAAUAGAUAAAUUAAUGAAGAUUAUUGGAUCAGAUUUCUUUAAAAUAGUGCCAGAGGUGAUAACCACUUCUGUUGUUGCUGCUGGAAAUUAUGCAUUCCAGGUCAAAGCACAGUUACUCCACCCGAACAAAUGUUUGCUACAGGUGAGGAGCUCAAGGCAUUGAAAGGAGAGGCGGAGAAAGAUGGCGAAAAGACAAUAAAGCGAAGGGGCGGUGAUAUCAAAACAAAUAUUUAUCAAGAUGUUUUCUAGCAAGGACAAAGAUAGUAAUAACAGGAGUUCGGAUACAUCAGAGAUUCGUUCGUCAUUCGACGAAUGCUGAGGAAACAAAGUCGUGCACGCCGACAUCGAGGAGCAAGAGGUAUUCUUUAUUGUAGAUCAUGUCUUGUGUAAAUUAGUUGU
rnacentral:lncRNA from 1 species